GCACAAGCGGUGGAGCAUGUGGAUUAAUUCGAUGCAACGCGAAAAACCUUUACCUACCCUUGACAUGUCCGGAAUCCCGAAGAGAUUUGGGAGUGCUCGCAAGAGAACCGGAACACAGGUGCUGCAUGGCUGUCGUCAGCUCGUGUCGUGAGAUGUUGGGUUAAGUCCCGCAACGAGCGCAACCCUUGUCAUUAGUUGCCAUCAUUUGGUUGGGCACUCUAAUGAGACUGCCGGUGACAAACCGGAGGAAGUGGGGAUGACGUCAAGUCCUCAUGGCCCUUAUGACCUGGGCUACACACGUGCUACAAUGGUUGGUACGACGAGUUGCGAGUCGGUGACGGCGAGCUAAUCUCUUAAAGCCAAUCUCAGUUCGGAUUGUAGGCUGCAACUCGCCUACAUGAAGUCGGAAUCGCUAGUAAUCGCGGAUCAGCACGCCGCGGUCGAAUACGUUCCGGGCCUU
rnacentral:rRNA from 1 species